rnacentral:rRNA from 1 species
GUAGGGUGCGAGCGUUGUCCGGAUUUAUUGGGCGUAAAGGGCUCGUAGGCGGUUGAUCGCGUCGGAAGUGAAAACUUGGGGCUUAACCCUGAGCGUGCUUUCGAUACGGGUUGACUUGAGGAAGGUAGGGGAGAAUGGAAUUCCUGGUGGAGCGGUGGAAUGCGCAGAUAUCAGGAGGAACACCAGUGGCGAAGGCGGUUCUCUGGACCUUUCCUGACGCUGAGGAGCGAAAGCGUGGGGAGCAAACAGGCUUAGAUACCCUGGUAGUCCACGCUGUAAACGGUGGGUACUAGGUGUGGGGUCCAUUCCACGGAUUCCGUGCCGUAGCUAACGCAUUAAGUACCCCGCCUGGGGAGUACGGCCGCAAGGCUA